rnacentral:tRNA from 1 species
AGUUAAUAAGCUUUAUGAAAGCAUAUGUUUUGAAAACAUACAAUAGAAGUUUAAUUCUUCUAUUAACUUUUU